GAGUAAGUGGAUAAGCCACGGGCCAAGUUUGCAUUGUAGAAAGGAAAUGAUUCUACAUAUACUUAGCCACGGGAUGGAAAAAUAUGUUUCUUUCACAUAGACUUUGUGAAUAAAGCUUCCACUGUUCUGAGCAAAAAAUGCAGAAGGAAGCCUUGUUGUCUGGAUUAGGUCACUUAUAAAUACCUUUAAAAAUAUUUACAUAAAUGUCUACUGACUAACCAAUUCUCUGAGCACAUUCCAUAAAAAUUUCUUCUCCAUUGCUUUUAGAAAUUUGCUUUUUUUGGUCCAUUGUGUUGUAUAUGAAGUCUCUUGUUCAUGGUGCACAGUUAACUUAAAGAAGCCAAUCCAUCUAAAAGAACUGGGAAGGCUGGCUGGGGAAAUUAACGAGAGCCUCCUUUCUAAUUGUGGCUUUUUCCCCUGAGGUCCUGUUUCAACAUACAUUUUUUUUCUUUCCUAGCGUCAGUGACUUCAUUGCUUAAGUGACUCUUUUAGAUAAGUUCAUGUGUCUCUCAUGGGCUGCUCCAAUCAGCAAGGCAGUCUCACCCCAACUAGUGUCACAACACUCCCUUUGUGGUUCUGGACAUUAUACAGAGAGCAGCAAGCCACGAUAUUUCCGUAUCUUCGCUGGAAAAUGGCAUUUUUAAAUUGCUCUAAAUGCAUGCAUCAUUUUGUGCUUGCAGUUGGAGUAUAAUGGGAAUUAUCAGAGAAUUGCGUGUCUUUGCCAUAGACUUCAUCUGGUUCCCAUGAAGCAUCCAGGUUUCCUACUGGGGUGUUUAUCUCUCUCCCACUGAGAGCAGUCCUGAGGAACUGGGGUGAGGAAAAUUGUCUAGCUGUGAUUUCUUCAUGCAAACAGUGGAUGCAAGAACAAGCAAGCCAAGCUUGGAGCAACUCAUUGAGGAAAUACACCUCCCUGAUCUGCUGGAAGGUUCAGCAGGGUUCAAUUCAUCCUCCAGAGUGCUGUAAAAGUGUAAACUGCAUCCAGAACCAAGUCCCCAAACAAAAUGAUCAAUUUAUUUAAUUGAUCAUUUUGCUACAUGCUAAUAUAUAGAUCCCCAUACAAAGCUAUUAUUGAAUACUUUGCUUUCCUUUUCCUUUUUCUUAUUUUUUUAGAUCAUUUUGUUGCAGAUAUUUUUCCUUCUGGCUAUCAGAAAGGAAGGCAUGGGGUGUCUCAGAAUAUUCACAGCAGGAAACAUGCUUACAUUUAUAAAGUGAGCAAGUUGUUAUUGCUCCAGUCCCUGAUUGAAUGACUUCAGCUCUUCAUUUGGACUAAAAUUUUCCAGAUUACUUUUAGUUCCUGAUUCAAUUUUGUUAGAAAAGUACAAAAUUUAUAUAUCAGAGUUUCUCACCCCCGGGAGUCUAUGCAAUCUUCUUUCCUGGGGUGUGGCCAAAUCCUUUGCCUCAUUUUCUGCAUCCUUCCUGGGGCUACUGUCACUUUCUGAGGUGGACUUGGGACACAGAGCAUCAAAUGGUCUUGAAGAGCCACAGUUAACCUUCCAAACAGGCUAGCAAAAUUUGCAAAUCACCGUUGGCCAUUUUUUCUCUCCAUUGCAUGGCUGCAACUCAGGUGUUUGCUUCUCAGAAGGAGACAAAGGAGGUGCAGACAGAUGGUGCGUCACAGUAACUCAGGGAUAGAAACAGAUUUAGGAAGAACAAACUUCUUAACUUUUAACUUUUUAAGCUUCUUAACUUUUGCUUCUGUGUUUUGGUUUUCAUUUUUCACAAUAUUUGUUUUAUGGUUAUUCAUUUGAGGAACUAAGAGACAUACCAUUUUAUACUUUAAGUGUACUUUAUGUACAAAUAACUGGAAAAAAAUGGCCAAGCUUGUAAUAUUUUAUUUCUAGUUAGAUGCAUAAAUAUGCAGACAUUAAAAUAGAGGAGUUAGAGAUUAUUACAACAUCACUUUUGUUAUACAAACAUACCAAGGAAGAUUAGAAGUAGUUGUUUUGUUUAUUACUUUUUAAUCAACUGAUAAGCCUCAGUGGCAGCGGUUUUCAAAACACAGCAUUUUUCUCAUUUCUAUAAAAUGGAUGAGGACAAUAAGAGCUAUAUUAAAUACUUAUGCAUAACAGUUAAAUAAAAUAUUCAUGAUUUAAAAAUGCCUUUCAUAUUGGGUAUGUAUCUUUAACUUCUUCAGUAAGGGCUUAAUAUUUAUCUUGAAACACUUUGUAAGUUUCUGUCUCUUUUCUCUUCCUGUUGUGUACUUCCAUGUUUUAGGUCCCUGCAAAUAUCCCUCUGGGUUAGAAGUUGCUUCCAGAAUUCCUGGGGUGUCUGCCAGUUAACCCGUUUGAUGUCUGCAGAGCAUUGUUGGGAAGGCAUUUGGCAUUUUGAACUUGAGAUCCUUGGCUGGUAAAGAAGUCCUUAUUCGGUCUUGGAAGUAGGGUCUGGAGUAAGACAUCAGUUUCCCCUUUAGAACCCUCCCAUGAGUUGGGGUAAAGAAAGAGGGAAAAGAAAUAUUCUAUUCUGAACAGGUUUUUGCUAUCGGCCAGGAUUUAAUUACGGUACAAGGUGCGUGUAAAGAAACACCUUUAAUCAUGGAGUCCACUUUGAGGAAAGAUUUAUUGAUUUUAAGUCAAGUGUAGGUAAAAGUUUGUAUCCAUCCAAAUAAUGGUAUUAUAUGUCAAAUUUGCCAUAUAAAUAUUGGAUGUAAUGUGUGAUAUACAACAGUUGAUGCAGAAUUCCAUUACAAUAUAGUAUUAAUUCAUUUAUUUAUUCAACAAAUAUGUAUUGGGGAUAUCCUAUAAGCCAGAUACUGUGAUAGAUGAUGAAGAACUCGUAAGCAGACACAAUAGUCUACUUUUUCCAUUUCUAAUUUUAAAAAUUAUUUUACUUUUUGUAGGUACUUAUUGCAAGACUUUAUAAUACAGUGUACUUUAAUAAUACAAUGUUUCUGAAUGUGCAAUGUCAAGGGAAAGCAAGAUAGUACAUAUUUUAAAAAAUAUUUCUUAUGGUCGCUUCAAUGAA